rnacentral:rRNA from 1 species
ACACAUGCAAGUCGAGCGGUAACAGAUCCAGCUUGCUGGAUGCUGACGAGCGGCGGACGGGUGAGUAAUGCAUAGGAAUCUGCCCGAUAGUGGGGGAUAACCUGGGGAAACCCAGGCUAAUACCGCAUACGUCCUACGGGAGAAAGGGGGCUCCGGCUCCCGCUAUGGGAUGAGCCUAUGUCGGAUUAGCUAGUUGGUGAGGUAAUGGCUCACCAAGGCAACGAUCCGUAGCUGGUCUGAGAGGAUGAUCAGCCACAUCGGGACUGAGACACGGCCCGAACUCCUACGGGAGGCAGCAGUGGGGAAUAUUGGACAAUGGGGGAAACCCUGAUCCAGCCAUGCCGCGUGUGUGAAGAAGGCCCUCGGGUUGUAAAGCACUUUCAGCGAGGAAGAACGCCUAGCGGUUAAUACCCGCUAGGAAAGACAUCACUCGCAGAAGAAGCACCGGCUAACUCCGUGCCAGCAGCCGCGGUAAUACGGAGGGUGCAAGCGUUAAUCGGAAUUACUGGGCGUAAAGCGCGCGUAGGUGGCUUGAUAAGCCGGUUGUGAAAGCCCCGGGCUCAACCUGGGAACGGCAUCCGGAACUGUCAAGCUAGAGUGCAGGAGAGGAAGGUAGAAUUCCCGGUGUAGCGGUGAAAUGCGUAGAGAUCGGGAGGAAUACCAGUGGCGAAGGCGGCCUUCUGGACUGACACUGACACUGAGGUGCGAAAGCGUGGGUAGCAAACAGGAUUAGAUACCCUGGUAGUCCACGCCGUAAACGAUGUCGACCAGCCGUUGGGUGCCUAGCGCACUUUGUGGCG